AUUGAACGCUGGCGGCAUGCCUUACACAUGCAAGUCGAACGGUAACAGGUCUUCGGAUGCUGACGAGUGGCGAACGGGUGAGUAAUACAUCGGAACGUGCCCAGACGUGGGGGAUAACGAGGCGAAAGCUUUGCUAAUACCGCAUACGAUCUAAGGAUGAAAGCAGGGGACCGCAAGGCCUUGUGCGUUUGGAGCGGCCGAUGGCAGAUUAGGUAGUUGGUGGGAUAAAAGCUUACCAAGCCGACGAUCUGUAGCUGGCCUGAGAGGACGACCAGCCACACUGGGACUGAGACACGGCCCAGACUCCUACGGGAGGCAGCAGUGGGGAAUUUUGGACAAAGGGCGAAAGCCUGAUCCAGCAAUGCCGCGUGCAGGAUGAAGGCCUUCGGGUUGUAAACUGCUUUUGUACGGAACGAAAAGGCUCUGGCUAAUACCUGGGGCACAUGACGGUACCGUAAGAAUAAGCACCGGCUAACUACGUG
rnacentral:rRNA from 1 species